GACGAACGCUGGCGGCGUGCCUAAUACAUGCAAGUCGAACGCUGAAGGCGGAGCUUGCUUCUCAGGAUGAGUUGCGAACGGGUGAGUAACGCGUAGGUAACCUGUAUGGUAGCGGGGGAUAACUAUUGGAAACGAUAGCUAAUAGCGCAUAAGAGUAGAUGUUGCAUGAUAUUUGCUUGAAAGGUGAAAUUGCAUGUAUAGUAGAUGGCCCUGCGUUGUAUUAGCUAGGUGGUGGGGUAACGGCUCACCAAGGAGACGAUACAUAGCCGACCCGAGAGGGGGAGCUGCCACACUGGGACGAGGACACGACCCACACCCCUACGAGAGAGAGCAGGAGGGGAUCUUUGGGAAAGGACGGAAGGCUGAACGAGCAACGCCGCGGGAAAGAAUAAGGUUUUCAGGUCGUAAAACUCAUUAAUAAGAGAAGAUUGAAAAUGAAAGUUAAAAGUUCACACUGUGACGGUAUCUUACCAGAAAGGGACGGCUAACUACGUG
rnacentral:rRNA from 1 species